AAAAGGCCCUUGUGGAGGAGCGAAGGCAAUCAAGUCUUUUUGAAGAGGAAUCAGGAAAGUCUGAAGUCAAUAUGGGUUUUUUAGACACUGUAUCUUGCACACUGAGUCCAAGACACCCAAUGAACCCCUACGCUGUGCUAGGCUCUGGAGUGGUCAGGUCUCAGCAAACAUGAAAAGUGAGAUAGGAAGCUCCAAAAAAGACACCCAGAAAAAAAAUCCUCCUUCCUGAUCAGAAGCUUCCAUUUAGUGACAAGAAGAAGCCCAUCUGCUGAUGUCAGCAAAGCAGCAUUGGCCUCUGUGCGCUUUCUGAUGUGAGUCCUCUGUAUGAAGCAUGCAGAAGUUGGUCUUCCCAGGGGGCAUGGUAGUAAAGAAUCUGCCUGCAAAUGCAAGAGAUUCAGUUUCUAUCCUUGGUUCAGGAAGAUCCCAAGAAGAAGGAAAUGGCAACCCACUCCAGUAUUCUUGACUGGGAAAUUCCAUAAACAGAGGAGCCUGGUGAGCUACAAGCCAUGGGGUUACAAGGAGUCGGACCGCACUGAGCCACUGAGCAUUCACAAACACACACAGGGGACUUAGACCCUACAGAAUAAAUACAUGAAUAAAUAUUUUUUAAAAAAUUGA
rnacentral:lncRNA from 1 species